UAUCUAUAUUAGAUAGAUAUGUUCUGUCCAAAUUUAUAGGUUCCAGUUGAUGAUGAAUCAGCUAAUAUAUUAAUAUUGAAUACAAUCAAAGAGUUAUUCAAGAUAAGGAGAUUACCUUCUGGAGUGACAUAAGCUCCUUUUUUUCCCAAAGGAUUAAGGAAACCUUAUUAGUAGGAAUUCUGAUAGUAGUAUUAUAUCUGGUGCCACAUUGGUAAAACAUUGGCAAUGAAUAGCUAAAAUUUUAAAAAGGUUACUUGAGGCAGUGUUGUUCAUAAAUAUUGUAAAAUGUGAAUUUGCAUUGAGAUUGGCACAAUAUUUGGGUUUCAGGCUAGAUGAACAUGGUAUGCAUUCAACAGAUAAUAAAGUAUGAGCUAUCAAAAAAAUAGCAAUUACCAAAAAAUUGGAAAUGGGACAAUGAGCAUCAAAAGACUUUCCAAAGAGUUUCUUGUUGAUAUUGGACUGAAUAUUUACCUAUUAAAUAUUGAUUUACCACUAAUUUUAGUUUGUAAUGAAUCUGCUCAUGGAUUAGGAACAAUGUUGUCACAUUGGAUGUCUAAUGGUUUGGAAGCACUAUUCCUUUUGACUCCAAACAAUGACCAAACAACAACUCCAAACAACAACUCUGUAUCCUAAUGAGCAAAACUAUGCUUAAAUUGACAGGGAAGCAUUGGUGAUCAUGGAAAAUAACAUAUUAAUGAAUCUAUCAAAUAUAACUGCUAUACCCUAUUGUAAUACUUAAGAAAAAAUAAAGCACUAAUAUGCAGUUGUGGGGGGGCACUCAACAUUUUAAUAAUGAGCAUUUUCGACCUUUUCAUCCAUC
rnacentral:lncRNA from 1 species